CCUACGGGUGGCUGCAGUGGGGAAUAUUGGACAAUGGGCGAAAGCCUGAUCCAGCCAUGCCGCGUGUGUGAAGAAGGCCUUCGGGUUGUAAAGCACUUUCAGUGGGGAAGAAAGCCUUGGGGCUAAUACCCUCGAGGAAGGACAUCACCCACAGAAGAAGUACCGGCUAACUCCGUGCCAGCAGCCGCGGUAAUACGGAGGGUGCGAGCGUUAAUCGGAAUUACUGGGCGUAAAGCGCGCGUAGGCGGUCUGAUAAGCCGGUUGUGAAAGCCCCGGGCUCAACCUGGGAACGGCAUCCGGAACUGUCAGGCUAGAGUGCAGGAGAGGAAGGUAGAAUUCCCGGUGUAGCAGUGAAAUGCGUAGAGAUCGGGAGGAAUACCAGUGGCGAAGGCGGCCUUCUGGACUGACACUGACGCUGAGGUGCGAAAGCGUGGGUAGCAAACAGGAUUAGAUACCCCAGUAGUC
rnacentral:rRNA from 1 species